rnacentral:rRNA from 1 species
CCUACGGGAGGCAGCAGUGGGGAAUAUUGGGCAAUGGAGGCAACUCUGACCCAGCAACGCCGCGUGAAUGAUGAAGGUCUUCGGAUUGUAAAGUUCUGUGAUGGGGGAUGAACACAAUGACGGUACCCCAAUAGCAAGCCACGGCUAACUACGUGCCAGCAGCCGCGGUAAUACGUAGGUGGCAAGCGUUAUCCGGAAUGACUGGGCGUAAAGGGUGCGUAGGUGGUUUAGUAAGUUGGCGGUGACAUUCCGGGGCUCAACCUCGGCGCUACCGCCAAAACUAUUAGACUGGAGUGCAGGGGUGGUAAGUGGAAUUCCUAGUGUAGAGGUGGAAUGCGUAGAUAUUAGGAGGAACAGCAGGUGCGAAGGCGACUUACUGGACUGUAACUGACACUGAGGCACGAAAGCGUGGGGAUCAAACAGGAUUAGAUACCCCAGUAGUC